rnacentral:rRNA from 1 species
GACGGACCAUCCAAACGUUAUUCGGAAUUACUGGGCUUAAAGGGGUGCGUAGGCGGCGCGGAUAGUUCGGUGUGAAAUCCCUCGGCUUAACCGAGGAAUGGCGCUGAAUACUACCGUGCUCGAGGAAGACAGAGGUAAGCGGAACAGCGGGUGGAGCGGUGAAAUGCGUUGAUAUCCGCUGGAACACCGGUGGCGAAAGCGGCUUACUGGGUCUUUUCUGACGCUGAGGCACGAAAGCUAGGGUAGCGAACGGG